rnacentral:rRNA from 1 species
UACGUAGGGUGCGAGCGUUGUCCGGAAUUAUUGGGCGUAAAGAGCUUGUAGGCGGUUUGUCGCGUCUGCUGUGAAAAUCCGGGGCUCAACCCCGGACUUGCAGUGGGUACGGGCAGACUAGAGUGUGGUAGGGGAGACUGGAAUUCCUGGUGUAGCGGUGGAAUGCGUAGAUAUCUGGAAGAACACCGGUGGCGCAAGCGGAUUGCUGGGCCAUAACUGACACUGAGGAACGAAAGCUAGGGUAGCGAAUGGG